CAGAGGCGUAUGCGCACGUUGUUGCAGUUAAAAAGCUCGUAGUUGGAUUUCUGGCAGCACCUGUUCGGCCCGCCGCAUUCGCGGUGCGUGCUGUUUCGGGUCUGCCAUCCUCGGGGAGCCGUCCUGUCUGCUCUUAACUGAGUUGGGCAGGCGACCCCGUCAGUCACUUUGAACAAAAUGGAGUGCUCAAAGCAGGCCUUUGCCUUGAACAAUCUAGCAUGGAAUGAUAACAUAGGAUCUCUAACCCGUGUUGUCGGUUUCCGGGUUUCAGUAUAAUGAUUAAUGAGGACGGUUGGGGGUGCUCGUACUGCGUGGCCAGAGGUGAAAUUCUUGGACUCGCGCAUGACGAACUUCUGCGAAAGCAUUCACCAAGGACGUCCCUGUCGA
rnacentral:rRNA from 1 species